GUAGUGGAAGUUAGAAACUUAGUGGCGGACGGGUGAGUAACGCGUGGGUAACCUGCCUCAUACAGGGGGAUAACAGUUAGAAAUGACUGCUAACACCGCAUAAUAUAGCGAAACCGCAUGAUUUUUGCUAUCAAAUAUUUAUAGGUAUGAGAUGGGCCCGCGUCUGAUUAGCUAGUUGGUGGGGUAAAAGCCUACCAAGGCGACGAUCAGUAGCCGGCUUGAGAGAGUGACCGGCCACAUUGGGACUGAGACACGGCCCAAACUCCUACGGGAGGCAGCAGUGGGGAAUAUUGGACAAUGGGGGAAACCCUGAUCCAGCCGACGCCGCGUGAGUGAAGAAGUAUUUCGGUAUGUAAAGCUCUAUCAGCAGGGAAGAUAAUGACAGUACCUGACUAAGAAGCCCCGGCUAACUACGUGCCAGCCGCCGC
rnacentral:rRNA from 1 species